ACUGGGCGUAAGAGCUCGUAGGUGGUUUGUCGCGUUGUUCGUGAAAACUCACAGCUCAACUGUGGGCGUGCGGGCGAUACGGGCAGACUGGAGUACUGCAGGGGAGACUGGAAUUCCUGGUGUAGCGGUGGAAUGCGCAGAUAUCAGGAGGAACACCGGUGGCGAAGGCGGGUCUCUGGGCAGUAACUGACGCUGAGGAGCGAAAGCGUGGGGAGCGAACAGGAUUAGAUACCCUGGUAGUCCACGCCGUAAACGGUGGGUACUAGGUGUGGGUUUCCUUCCUUGGGAUCCGUGCCGUAGCUAACGCAUUAAGUACCCCGCCUGGGGAGUACGGCCGCAAGGCUAAAACUCAAAGAAAUUGACGGGGGCCCGCACAAGCGGCGGAGCAUGUGGAUUAAUUCGAUGCAACGCGAAGAACCUUACCUGGGUUUGACAUGCACAGGACGCCCGUAGAGAUAUGGGUUCCCUUGUGGCCUGUGUGCAGGUGGUGCAUGGCUGUCGUCAGCUCGUGUCGUGAGAUGUUGGGUUAAGUCCCGCAACGAGCGCAACCCUUGUCUCAUGUUGCCAGCGGGUAAUGCCGGGGACUCGUGAGAGACUGCCGGGGUCAACUCGGAGGAAGGUGGGGAUGACGUCAAGUCAUCAUGCCCCUUAUGUCCAGGGCUUCACACAUGCUACAAUGGCCGGUACAAAGGGCUGCGAUGCCGUGAGGUGGAGCGAAUCCUUUCAAAGCCGGUCUCAGUUCGGAUCGGGGUCUGCAACUCGACCCCGUGAAGUCGGAGUCGCUAGUAAUCGCAGAUCAGCAACGCUGCGGUGAAUACGUUCCCGGGCCUUGUACACACCGCCCGUCACGUCAUGAAAGUCGGUAACACCCGAAGCCGGUGGCCUAACCCCUCGUGGGAGGAGCCGUCGAAGUGGGAUCGGCGAUUGGGAC
rnacentral:rRNA from 2 species